UAGAAGCUGCUAGUAUUCAGAUAGCCUCUGUUACUGGAGCAAGGCUCUUGAGAGAGUUCUGUAUAGGACCAAGGGACUUUAGAAGCUGAUAGAUGAAGCCACAGGGAAAAUCAGGUGAAGGCACACGCAGGGCACUUUAGGAGACCUGGGUCUGCUUUUGAGUUCUGUCCAAGAUCAUCUGGAACUGAUUUUCCUCCCAAUCCCUGAACUCUGUUGAAGCUUGUAUGGAGAGGCCCCUAACCACUUGCUAGUGGUAUCGGAGCAGCCCUGACAGUGACUGUACGGAAAGAGACUUACUAGUAAUCGAUUUUGCCAGCUGAAACUGGUGCCAUGAGUCUAGACAUUUGAGUGAAUGGCUUGGGGAUGAAAAGGUCACUCUAAAUGCCUGAGUUCUGGGAAGUCUCCCAUUCACCUCUCGAGGUAUCACUGAAACUGUGUUUACUGGACUUGUCAGAUGAUACUACCCUCACGCUUCAGCCAGAGACAUCUCAGCUGGGCCUUCAAGGCUUGUGUCUCAGAUCUGCUGUUGGGUGCAUCCAGAAUGUCAGGUCUCAUUGUCAAGGACCCGGGAAAGGUGCACUGUGUCCUCAUAAUGAUGUUGGAAUCAUGGUGAUGUGGCCAUUGUUGAACUUCAGGAGCAUAUGUCUGAUGCCAAGUUACCUUGCUUCCUGAGAGAAUGAGCCAUGAGACUAUCUCUACCUGCCUAAGUGUGUGGCGGUUAGGAGUCCUGGGGAAGUCACAAAGAGCAGAAUCUGUGAUGUUGUGAGUGGCAAGAGAUGUGUGAUGAGGUUUAUAUGAAGACGAGUUUUACCCGAGUGUGUCCAGGGCUGUUUUGGGAGCUUUGUGUCCAAGUAUGUAUGUUAAAUGUAUAUGGUUAUAUGCGAAUAUGUAUAGGCAGGGAUGUAUGUGUUGGGUUCUGUGCAUGGGUUGUGUGCAAAUGUCUCUGUGCAGAGACCCAUGUUUACACUUGACAUGUAGAGUACAUGCAGAGGCCUGUAUGCAGACAUACAUGCAUAGAGCUGUGUGCGCCUGGUGAAGGGGUACUCCAUAUGUCUCUCAAAACUGAGGGCGCUGGGUUGAUAGAAUGAAAAUGUUUGGGAUGAGGGUUACUGUCUGUCAGACACACUGGCUAGAGGUCAAGAUCACACAUGCACUCUGAACCACAGAGAAGGCUACAUACAUUUCUUCAUUGUACUCCAGGAGGUAGGUACAGGGAACACCUCUCAUGAUAGAUGGUCUCUUUGUGGAUCAUCACCAUGAGGAUAAACAGCUUCAUCGGACAGAUUUACAGACCUUAGUACUCUACCUUCCUGCAUCUGUCUGAGGAACUGACGAUAAUGGCCACAUCAUCAUGAUUCCAACAUCAUUAUGAUGACACAGUGCACCUUUCCUGGGGCCUUGGCAAUGAGACCUGACAUUCUGGGAUUCACACAACAGCAGAUCUGAGACACAAGUCUUGAGGGCCAAUGUGUCUGUUGGCGCUCACUAUAGAACUUCAUCAGAAGCUAAAGACCCUCCCUGGUUAUAAGGGCCUUCGUUACCGGGCUUGGCUAUCUGAAGUGUCCCGUGUUUAGUCUGCUCAGUGAGUGGAUGGGAAGGAUGUUUUGUUUGGCAUGCUUAUUUAGAAAUUAGCUUCUCAAUUGGAAUCACUUGCGAUUUGAGUGUCAACUCCUAUAAGGUGAUGGAGAUGACAUCAUACAUACCAUCCUCCCUUUGGAAAUAGAAACAGAUUGACCCAGACCACACUUAGCAGACUGUCUCCCUUUCUUUAAAACCAUGGUUCCUUUGUUUACCACUAUUUUCAUUUCCUACUUCAGGGUUUUUCUUCACUCUCAGCUAUUGUUAAGGAAAUUUUUCAGUCAAGCCCCAAGCAGUAGCAAGUCCCACCUGGACUCUGACUCACGGUAAGGCCACCAGGAACAUCUGUCCAGCACUUGGUAACUCCAAGGGCCAUUGAUCUUGCCUCAUUAAGUUGUGUCAAAUCAGCACCUUCCAGGGCUCCAGGACAGAGGCUCACACUAAGAAUAAUAUGGCCAUUUAUAAAGCAAGGCACCUUCCAUUGUUUUUUGUUUUCCCCUCAGUCUCUUUAAGAUGCUCAGCCUCCUGGGGCUUCUCUUACAAAGCUGAAAGGAAGCUUGCAGAGAAGACAAUGCCACCAUCUAUUUAGCAAUGAGCCAGCAAGAGUCUAGCUGUGUCAGAUGGGUAAGAAUCUGGCUUGGUUUCACUCAUACCAUCUUCACAGUGCUCACUCAUCCUUCACCCUCUUUCCAGAAGCUUCAAGGUGCAAGGCACACAGGGCCCUAGGUUGUGGGACAGAGUAUGGAUGUUACAAGCAGGAAGGGGCACAGUCAAGUCAUCGCUUUCCCUACAGAAAAAAUGUGAAUGGUAGCUCAGGGAGUCAUGAGACAUGCUUGUUUGUAUUUUGGGGUGGGGUAUCAUUGCUUUGUCGUAGGAUGGCCCUUUCAGCCUACACAGGAAGCUCUGUUCACAGCGUUGCUGAAGCUCACCUGCUUACCUCUUCAGAUCAUGCAGAGGCAUCAUGUCCACACAUGGCACAGGGCAGGUGUUUCAGGUGUCUUCGUUGAAUUCAGUGAAACUCCACGCUGAGAGCGAAUAUAUGGAGAACGCUGAGAACCAGCCACGCAGAUACUCCACACUCCUGAAGGUCUUAUGCUCUGGCCAGGGCAAGAUGUUAGAUAAUUCCACUAGAACUUCAGGGCUUGCAAAUGUGAUUGAAGACCCAGACAAGGAUUCUCUGUUCUGUAGAGAGAACUCUCUGAAUUAAGAAGAGUGAAAUGGAUAAACUUGAUGGGAAGAGGCAACUUUCACUCAGAAAAUGGCUUUCCAACAGGGAAGAAAGAAAGGAUCAUUCUAAACAACAAGUUAAAAGGAGAGCAAUUUAGUGGAGAGUAAGGGGGAAGAGGACAUACUACUGAGGAGAGUCAGCAUGGAAAGCAGCCUAGGUCAGCGUAUCCAGGAAGCUAGCUGCCAUCAUGGAGACUCCAACACCAAGUCUCCAAAGUGAUGGAAAUCAGAAGCCGACCUGAGGGUCAGAGUUGAGGCUUCAUGAAAGAAGUGAAAGACAGACAAUGUAAACUGGAGAAGUCUCAAUGGGUUUGCUCUAGAGAGUUUCCUGUGGAGACCAUAGUGGGAAGUUACCUGCUUCCUAGGUGAAGAUGGACAGUCAGAUGGACAGACAGACAGACAUGCAGGAUAAGCCCUAGGACCAAAUGAAAGAAGGAAGAUGGAAGGUUCCAUGGACUGUUUUCAGAAGCAACAUGCAGGCACUUGGUGGCACUUACUACCAUCUCUGGAACGUGGUGUGGCUGAUGGGCUUGUGAUGGUGUAACAUGUAGUUUUAAAAAACAAA